GAAAUGCGAUAAGUAAUGUGAAUUGCAGAAUUCAGUGAAUCAUCGAAUCUUUGAACGCACAUUGCGCCCGCUAGUAUUCUGGCGGGCAUGCCUGUUCGAGCGUCAUUUCAACCAUCAAGCCCUAGGCUUGUGUUGGGGCCCUGCGGCCGUCCGCAGCCCCCUAAAAACAGUGGCGGGCUCGCUAUAUACCGAGUGCAGUAGUUUACUCUUCGCUCAGGACAUGUAGUGGGUUCUUGCCGUAAAACCCCCCAUUUUCUAAGGUUGACCUCGGAUCAGGUAGGAAUACCCGCUGAACUUAA
rnacentral:misc_RNA from 1 species